rnacentral:rRNA from 1 species
AUUGAACGCUGGCGGCAGGCCUAACACAUGCAAGUCGAACGAGUGGCGGACGGGUGAGUAAUGUCUGGGAAACUGCCUGAUGGAGGGGGAUAACUACUGGAAACGAUAGCUAAUACCGCAUACUGUGAGAUGGACCUGCGUUGUAUUAGCUAGUUGGUGGGGUAAAGGCCUACCAAGGCGACGAUCAGUAGCGGGUCUGAGAGGACGAUCCGCCACACUGGGACGUAGACACGGCCCAGACUCCUACGGGAGGCAGCAGUGGGGAAUUUUGGACAAUGGGGGCAACCCUGAUCCAGCCAUGCCGCGUGUAUGAAGAAGGCCUUCGGGUUGUAAAGUACUUUUGUUAGGGAAGCGGUACCUAAAGAAUAAGCACCGGCUAACUACGUGCCAGCAGCCGCGGUAAUAC